UNGGAAUUACUGGGCGUAAAGCGAGCGCAGACGGUUUAUUAAGCAAGAUGUGAAAUUCCCGAGCUUAACUUGGGAACUGCGUUUUGAACUGGUAAGCUAGAGUAUGUCAGAGGGGGGUAGAAUUNCACGUGUAGCAGUGAAAUGCGUAGAGAUGUGGAGGAAUACCGAUGGCGAAGGCAGCCCCCUGGGAUAAUACUGACGUUCAUGCUCGAAAGCGUGGGUAGCAAACAGGAUUAGAUACCCUGGUAGUCCACGCCCUAAACGAUGUCAAUUAGCUGUUGGGGCACUUGAUGCCUUAGUAGCGAAGCUAACGCGUGAAAUUGACCGCCUGGGGAGUACGGUCGCAAGAUUAAAACUCAAAGGAAUUGACGGGGACCCGCACAAGCGGUGGAUGAUGUGGAUUAAUUCGAUGCAACGCGAAGAACCUUACCUGGUCUUGACAUGUACGGAAUCUUCCAGAGACGGAAGAGUGCCUUCGGGAGCCGUAACACAGGUGCUGCAUGGCUGUCGUCAGCUCGUGUCGUGAGAUGUUGGGUUAAGUCCCGCAACGAGCGCAACCCUUGUCAUUAGUUGCCACCAUUCAGUUGGGCACUCUAAUGAGACUGCCGGUGACAAACCGGAGGAAGGUGGGGAUGACGUCAAGUCCUCAUGGCCCUUAUGACCAGGGCUUCACACGUCAUACAAUGGUCGGUACAGAGGGUAGCCAAGCCGCGAGGUGGAGCCAAUCUCAGAAAACCGAUCGUAGUCCGGAUUGCACUCUGCAACUCGAGUGCAUGAAG
rnacentral:rRNA from 1 species